ensembl:lncRNA
ACUCAGGUUUGGAUGUCAAAACCUUCCUAAAUAACUGUAAUGUAACAGAUGCAUGGUGAUAUAAGAAAAUAUGUUGUGGAAAAAAAGCAUAUUCACGUAUUUAAAGGGCUUUCUUAGCUCACCUGUGUUUCCUACAUUUCUGUCAGCAGCUCCCUUCAGAUACUUUGACAUUUUGGAGCUUCUCUUCUGUUGUAGAGAGAUUAUAUUCUCAUUCCUGAAACCACAGAAGAAAUUUGAUCAAUAUUUGUUUACCAUGAAAGAUAAAAAUACGUUUGAACUAACGUUAGAUUCAGUUAAUUUGCGCUCCUUGUAAGUGACGUCACCGAUUAACAGUACAGCGCAUAUUUAAUAAGCUAGACAACUUUCAAUAUACCGUGGACAAACUGACAGCAAACCCUUUACAAAGCUAUCAAAACUUCUCAUCUAUACAUAAAGAUGUGAUUAAAAGCCCAAACUCUCAUUAAAAAGAGCUCAAGCUAUAGAGUUAGCUUACCUCACCUAAAAAAAAAAAAACACUUGCGAUGAUAACGGACUCUUUCGAAGUUUUCUAAGUAAAUAUUCAACAGAAAUGUGUCAGUUACAUGUAAGAAACAUGGAAGAGUUGCAUGUGAUAUACAUAUAUGUGAUGAUUUGUGUGAUUUUAGGUAUUAAACUUACCUGAAAGCAGUGAAAACAGCAGCGAGAAAUGGAGAUUUACGGUUUGCAGUUGGUGUUGUUGCCCCGUUUCCAUGGCAACUCCCUCCGCUCCAGCGUUUGAAUGAGAGUCCAGUAUUCAGCGGUUGGCUUGCAUUCUCUACAUUUGAGGUUUAUUUAUGCAAAUGCUGCGUGACUUUGACAUGUUUUAAUGGGCGUGAGCGCUGAAUACUGGAGUCUCAUUCAAACGCUGGAGCGGAGGGAGUUGCCAUGGAAACGGGGCGACAACACCAACUGACGAACUUCUCUCUCGCAGCUGUUUUCACUUCUUUCAGAAAACUGUGAAAGAGUCCGUUAGCAUCUCAACUGUUUUCAGACAAGGAGUGAUAAUAUAAUCUCUCUACAACAGAAGAGAAGCUUCAAAAUGUAAAUGUUUCUGAAUGGAGCUGCUGACAGAAAUGUAGGAAACACAG